rnacentral:lncRNA from 1 species
AUGAAUGAACCACUGGAAGAGUUUGCUAAGGGAUCCACUGAAUUGACGCCUCGUCUGGAAGCAAUACAUCCUUUUUGGACAACAUCAGUGGGAAUGAAUGAAGUACAAACAUGCAGACAAGUUACAGGCAGAAUCAAGUUAAAACCAAUACCAAAACAUCUCAAGAGGCAUUUCCUUCCUCACUGCAAUACUAAUCAAUAUAAAAGCACAGAACUUGAGUUAAAAAAUGUCAAUUCUUCUUCAACAGAUAAUGACAUUAAAACAACAAACAAGGAAGAACAAGAAUGGCUUGAUGGAAGUAAAAAUAAGCAAUUUGAAGAAAAAGAGCAGCGUUGCCAAAGUAAGGAAAUGGAAGUGUUAAGAAACUUGCAUGAAAGUGCUGCUCCUCCUGAUGACAGUGAUGGUUGUGGACUGAAUCAGCAGAGAAAGAGUGGGGACCUUGACAACCAGCAAUCUGCCACUAAGAAGAAUGAAGAAUAUUAUUUCUGCCCUGCCUUGCAUAUAAAGGAAACAAAAAAUGAAAAUGAAAAAGUGACUUCCAUGGAGUAUGGGAUUAGACCAGUGAUAGAGAAUGGCUUUUCACUCACUAGAAGUCUACUGCAAGUGAUUUAUGACAACAAUCUGAGUGAGCUCGAUCGUCUUAAAAGGGAACAGUUAAGAAGAAAAGAAAAGCAAUAUCAUAAAGAAGUAGUAGUGAAACAACUUGAAGUGACACAUAGAACACUAGAAUUGGAUGCGAGGACUUCAAAAAACAAUUUGACCCAGUUCCAAGAAUCAGAAGAUGAACAAAAGGAGUUGGUACAAAACACUGAGAAAAUUCAAGAUCAUCUGGAAAAGCAUGAUCAGGAAAAUCAUGAGUUGAAAGAUACAAUACUAAAGCAAGCAAGGGAAAUUAAAAAUCUUCAGGAAAUCCUUUUCAGACUAAGUUCAUUCCAGGUAUCAGAAAAUCUACACCAAGGAGUGGUAGAAAAUGUAAAGAAGACACAAGAUUAUCUAGAACACUACAAUUCAAGGUACUAUGCAAACUAG